rnacentral:rRNA from 1 species
CAAUAGCGUAUAUUAAAGUUGUUGCAGUUAAAAAGCUCGUAGUUGGAUUUCUGGUGGGAGCGAUCGGUCUGGCGCUUAGCGCGAGUACUUGCAUCGUCUCCGGCCAUCCUUGGGGAGAGUCUGUCUGGCAUUAAGUUGUCGGGCAGAGGAUCCUCAUCGUUUACUGUGAAAAAAUUGGAGUGUUCAAAGCAGGCUUAUGCCGUUGAAUAUAUUAGCAUGGAAUAAUAAGAUAGGACUUUGGUACUAUUUUGUUGGUUUGCGCACCAAAGUAAUGAUUAAUAGGGACAGUUGGGGGUAUUCGUAUUCCGUUGUCAGAGGUGAAAUUCUUGGAUUUACGGAAGACGAACUACUGCGAAAGCAUUUACCAAGGAUGUUUUCAUUAA